AUGCUUAAGCUUGCCGAGUUGCUGGUCAGUAGAUAUGUGUUGCCUGGUAGCAAUAUAGCAGAAGCUUCUUCAUCCAAAGUUUUCGAAAGUAUUUUGGACUUUGUCCUUUGUGUUCUGGAUUUUCCGGUCAUUUCUGACAAUUUACCCAUUAUAUCACCUUUCUAUGCUCCAUUGUUUAAACUAAAAAAUUCGAGUUUGAUUGUCUUUAUGAAGAAACUGUUAGCAAAAGGCCCGCACAUUAUACAUCAUUUCGAAAGUCAGAUAUUGAGUGCAAUGGACAAUUUCCUUGAGAGUUGACCAGAGGAAGUUCUCUUUAUCCUUCUGAAUUUCUUUAUAGUGUCAAAGAAGCAAAUAAUUCUUCAUAGCACUGAUGGAAAUCAUCCAGAUCCAGGGGAGAAAGUGAGCAAGUUCUUCGAAUCAAAAUUCUCUUUCUGGAUAGCUUGUCACUGCUGAAGAGUUAUUAGAUGAUAUAGUCAAUGGUUCUAGUAGUCAGGUCAGUGAAAAGGAAGCUGCUAUACUAUAGGGAUCUAUUUGCUUGUAUCCUAACAUGAAUGGUGUACAUCGAGAUAGCUUGUCACUGCUGAAGAAGUUAAUCUGCAACCUUGAUCGGUCGCUUGAAGUGGGUGAAGAGAACAUGAACGGUCUUCCAAAGACUACCUGGAGAAGUCUACUUGGCGCAGCAUUGUCAUCAUAUCAUGAACUAUUGCUGGUUAACACCAGUAGAAAUUCAGAAUUAAGUCUUUUCGUAUCGCUCGCCAAGAGGCACAGUCAUGCCCACAAGUACUGUCUGCUGUAGCCGAAUAUUUGGAUUCCCUGCAAGGAGUAGCAUCCCUGGAAGUGACAGAAGAAUUUGAUUCACAAAAUCUUUUGGAUCUGUUCUCUAUCUUUGCUGUUAACUUGAGCAGUCCGAACAGGGAUGUUUGGAUUUUAACAUUGAGGAUUCUAUCCUAUUUUGUGAAGAUGGAUCAACGUCUAGGGACAAAUGAGGAGCGAGCACACAAGAGACAAAUAACAGAAGAUUCCGGAGAGGAAACUGUUACUAAAUACACUAAUGUUGUGGAUACCCUUCUUGCUGUUGAGUCAACUCCAAUUUCGGUAUCCACUAGCCGGAAAAUUGCUAUCUUCAUUUCUCGAGUACAAAUGAGUCUUUCUUCCAAGAUGGUUCUUGACUAUUACAUACCUCCUCUCUUACAUGGGAUUAUCGGCAUAUUAUACAAUAGAUUUAGUGAUCUGUGGCCACCAAGGCUGGAUUGCCUUGCUGUCCUCAUUAGGAAACACAAGGGGCUUGUCUGGAGUCAGUUUGUUCAGUUUAUUGCAAUUCACCAAUCAAAAAGUCUGAUUCUGAAAAAUCAGGAGAAG